rnacentral:ribozyme from 11 species
GAGGAGGCUACACGCAGGGCGAUGGCCGAGUUAGAUAAAACUCCUGGGAAGUUCUUUCGGAGGCUGGAUUCCAAAGCGCUCGCCGGGGCGGCGGCGCUAGCAGGUGAAAUUCCAGCGAGAGGAGACAGCGAUCCGAGGACGGCGGAGAUGGGGGCGA